UUCCGCUUCCUGUUGAGCUGCAGGCCGACUCCCCGUCACGUCAUUCAUCAUCACCUCUGAAACUCCAUCAUCAGCUGCACCCUCAACAGUUCAGUCUGCUGCAAGAAUCAUCCAAACAACAAAUGUUCACUUGAGCAAGAAAAAUGAACCCAAUCUUUACCUUGUUUUUCCUUGCAGGUCUCAGUUUGGGGCUUGAGGUCCAUCAGUCUCACUUUGAUCUCUUCAAAAGAACCGGUGAUAAAGUUCACAUUUUCUGCACCCAUAAAAAAACCGACUACAGAGUGAUGCUCUGGUAUCAACGGUCGCCUGGAGACACGGCCAUGAAGCUCAUUGGAUAUUUGCACUACGACAAGCCGUCUAUGGAAGACGGGUAUAAAGAGAACUUUGGGAUCUCUGGAGAUCUGGGAGGGGAUACAGCGAAGAACGGAUCCCUGACGAUCCAAACCGUGAAUCAGAGUCACACUGCUGUUUACUACUGUGCUGCAAGAGAAGCACAAUGACAGAAAUGCUCUCUGCACCUUAACAAAAACUGUGCUGUGUCUUUAUAUCACCAGUGGUUAUUGUAGAAAACUGACACCUGUUUGUGGUUGUAAAGAAAACUCCUGAAAAAUGUGUGAAAGCAGAAGAUUUAGAUUUCCUAUUCAGAGAGAAAAUAAAAACAGCAGAACAGAAAUAAAAACAGCUUUAGAAAAGAAUCAGCAUUGUUUGCACAUGAAUCAGGAGCCUCCCAACCACAAUCACACAC